CGUCUUCGGGGCGGGGUGCGAUUCCCCACCGGCAGUGAAAGUCUGCGAGCCGCAUGGCUGAACCGGUGCAAUUCCGGUACCGACGGUACAGUCCGGAUGUGAGAGGAU
rnacentral:ncRNA from 1 species